CUACAAACGCCUCAGGGGGGAUAAAAAACAAGAUAAAAGCCCUCCCCUUAUGGCACUGGAGCUUGACUUCGAGCGAGGCUGAAGCUGAGGAGCACCUGCCCGGGGCAGCAGCACUCGCAGGCAUCAUUAGCGCAGCAGCCACCGCCUGCACCCCAGUGCCCACGACCCAGUUUGCAGACCCAGACCUGCAACGACACCUCUGCAGGUCGGCCCCAGGGCAGGAUCUGGCCCAAGGUCGUGCCCUGCGGCUCUCCUGCCUGGCUCACAGGCGCCCUUCCUCCAUAGCAUCGGUGCCCGGACCGACCACGGCUUGGGACGAGCAGGGGAAGAUGCUCUGGCACAGCUGGGAGAGCAAACCAAAAGCGAGAUAAGAUGCACACGUUUUAACCCGUCCAUUGCAGUGAUAGCACAAUAAAGUUGCUCAAGAGUCA